GGCAUGGCUCAGUGGCAGGGCACCUGAUUGGCAUUCAGAAGGUCCUGGGUUCAAUCCCCAAAAUUGCUA
rnacentral:tRNA from 1 species